GAUGAACGCUGGCGGCGUGCCUAAUACAUGCAAGUCGAGCGAACGGACGAUAAGCUUGCUUCUCUGAUGUUAGCGGCGGACGGGUGAGUAACACGUGGAUAACCUACCUAUCAGACUGGGAUAACUUCGGGAAACCGUAGCUAAUACCGGAUAAUCUUUUGAACCGCAUGGUUCAAAAGUGAAAGACGGUCUUGCUGUCACUUAUAGAUGGAUCCGCGCUGCAUUAGCUAGUUGGUAAGGUCACGGCUUACCAAGGCAACGAUGCAUAGCCGACCGGAGAGGGUGGUAGGCCACACGGGAACUGAGACACGGUCCAGACUACUACGGGAGGCAGCAGUAGGGAAUGUUCCGCAGUGGGGGAAAGCCUGACGGAGCAACGCCGCGUGAGUGAUGAAGGUGUUCGGAUCGUAAAACUCUGUUAUUAGGGAAGAACAUAUGUGUAAGUAACUGUGCACAUAUUGACGGUACCUAAUCAGAAAGCCACGGCUAACUACGUG
rnacentral:rRNA from 1 species